rnacentral:lncRNA from 1 species
CUGUGAGAGAAUACUCCUCGGGCUGUGCAGCAGCUGUGAACUUCCUCUUGCGAGACUGCAAGACCCAACAAAGUCAAUAGAGACUCCAGAGAGCCCAGCGGGAGCCUGCGGCUCGACCUCAGCACAUGCAGGGCAGAGCCCAGCGAAAGCCGAAGGUUUGGGCUCCAGCCCAAGGAAGAUCUACCAGGCAAUGAAUACUUGGGCAGCAAACUUUCCAGACCAUGCACCCAUCUUUGCUGGAGAAUGAGCAACUGUUAAAAAUUGGAGCAAAAUAYGGCCCUAUCCUUAGGGAUGGGAGUUUACAGGCGAAGGACUUGAUAUGAGAAUUGCCUGCAUUCUUCUGCCAGUACUACACAGAGAGCAGGCAGCAAAGCCCAUGGGGCAGAGGGAGCCAGAGAAAUCGUGCGGAGGUGGCGGGAGGUAGCCAAGGAGAGGCAUGGCUUUCUGCACGGCUGGCCUGAACGACUUGACCAGGUGGGGAUCAAGAAAGCAUAGAAGAACAGACAGAGAUGAGAACAUGGCACAUGGCAAGGCGACAGUUUUCCAUGGGAAGGCAUGCCUGCGGACUACCUGGUGACCACUGCAGAGGGUCCCAGAGGCUUGCAUGCUUUCUGUCUGCUCAGUUUGAUGCCAGGUGCACCACGGUGUCCACGUCCUCUGCAGGAUGGGAAGCCGUUGAGCCGCCAAGGCAAAUGUCAGGAGGUCUUCUCCCACCAGGCUUUUCCUCAGAGGACUUUCCAAGGACUGUAUCUCUGAACACUUUUGAAAUUUCUUUCAUGCAAGGAACAUCCAGAGGGUGUUUGCCUUGCUCAAGAACCUGGUAAUGGAAGAUUACAUUGCUGGGGCUCCACCAGUUCUCCAUGAAGCCAGAUUACCAGUGCUUGUGCUGACUGAAAGAAAGGAAGCUUUUCUGUCACUGAGGAAGGAAAAAUUCCUACUCUGUUAGAAGCUUGUGAAACUGCACUGAGUACAACCCAUUCACUGCAUUAUGUAUUCAGAGACUCAUUUUCUGCAUGCUCAUGUUUGGACCCCGUUGACUAACACUACAAAAUCCUGUUAACCCCAAAGUUUGAGUGGAGCUUUGUGAGGCCAUUAUUCAGAAACAGAUCCCAGCCUAUUUUUAGGACUCAUCUUUUGUUAAUGUCAUGUCUCCAUAGAGCAAAGAAAAAAUCCAUGGAGCAAUCUUCCAAUGGGUUCAUCCUUCAGGAGCAUGAGCUCAACAACGGGUUUAGAAUUGCUCGUUUUGU